CGGCGUGCUACACAUGCAGUCGAACGGGACCGCAAGGGUUCAGUGGCGGACGGGUGCGUAACACGUGAGGAACAUGUCCUUCGGCGGGGAAUAGCCGGCCUAACGGCCGGGUAAUACCGCGUACGACGGUUGGGGCGCAUGCCCUGGCCGUGAAAGCAGCAAUGCGCCGAUGGAGUGCCUCGCGGCCUAUCAGCUAGUUGGUGAGGUAAUGGCUCACCAAGGCGACGACGGGUAGCUGGUCUGAGAGGAUGAUCAGCACAUUGGGACUUGAGACACGGCCAGACUCCUACGGGAGGCAGCAGUGGGGAAUAUUGCGCAAUGGGCGAAAGCCUGACGCAGCGACGCCGCGUGUGGGAUGAAGGUCUUCGGAUUGUAAACCACUGUCGGGAGGGACGAAUGCGCCGCAAGGCGAGUGACGGUACCUCCAAAGGAAGCACCGGCUAACUCUGUGCCAGCAGCCGCGGUAAUACAGAGGGUGCGAGCGUUGUCCGGAAUCACUGGGCGUAAAGGGCGCGUAGGCGGCUUGGUAAGUAGGGGGUGAAAUCUUGCGGCUCAACUGCAAGGCUGCCUCCUAAACUGCCUGGCUGGAGCACGGUAGAGGCAGAUGGAAUUCCCGGUGUAGCGGUGGAAUGCGUAAGAUCCGGGAAGAACAUCGGUGGGCGAAGGCGGUCUGCUGGGCCGGUGCUGACGCUGAGGCGCGACAGCGUGGGGGAGCAAACAGGAUUAGAUACCCUGGUAGUCCACGGCCGGUGAAACG
rnacentral:rRNA from 1 species